GCCAGAGCCACUUUAACACACACACACAAAACCAUGAUGUCUCUUUUUCUAAUGCUGGGGACACUGGGUCUACUUUCUCAAGUGUCCCAUCAAGAGGUCCAGUCUGAAUCUCUGUCUGUUAGAGUUGGAGAUUCUCCCUCUAUUAGCUGUACUGGGACCAGUGGAGUCGAUGAUGACAUGAGCUGGUAUCUGCAGAAACCCGGAGAAGCUCCUAAACUCCUGAUCUACAAAGCCAAUAGGCUUGAAUCUGGAGUUUCAGAUCGGUUCAGUGGAAGUCAAUCUGGACUCCAUUUUACACUGACCAUUAGAGGAGUCCAGCUUGACGAUGCAGGAGAUUAUUACUGUAUGGGGGCUUACAGUGACAGGUUUACACAGUGAAACACCAUCAUACAAAAACCUCCCUCAGUCAGGUGGCUCAGCGAAUGUACUGUUAUAGCUGAGAAGUUAUUAGACCCUGGGGACUACGUGCACUCCAAUACAAGUCGAAACAAAUAAUUUGUUGCUUAGUCUUAAUAAUCUCACAGAUGUCAAAAGUACAUUUCCAAAUAUGUGAGACAUUAAUUAUUUUUAAAACCUACACCCGUAGAGGAAAACUGCAAACUCUGUCUAUGACUCUGUGAUAAACAAUUAGUCUACAUAGUAUAACAUAAUAUUAACUGGUUUUAUUCAAGUAAAAAUAUGACUUCUUUCAACUAACUUGCCAACAAAAGUCAUAUAUAAUUGUUAGGCCAUCUAGAAAUAAAACUUUUAACAGUGUACAGUCAUGAUUCAACCCUGUGUAGCUAAAAUAUGACACAGUUUUGAUUUAUUUUGGAUUUUGUUUAGUCACAACAUAAUUCCCAUAGUUUCAUUUAUGUUAUUCCAUAGUUUUGAUGACUUUACUAUUAUUCUAAAAUGUGAAAAAAUUAUAAUAAAGAAUGAGUAAGU